GCAGCUACACAUGCAGUCGAGCGGCAGCGGGAAGUAGCUUGCUACUUUUGCCGGCGAGCGGCGGACGGGUGAGUAAUGCCUGGGGAUCUGCCCAGUCGAGGGGGAUAACUACUGGAAACGGUAGCUAAUACCGCAUACGCCCUACGGGGGAAAGCAGGGGACCUUCGGGCCUUGCGCGAUUGGAUGAACCCAGGUGGGAUUAGCUAGUUGGUGAGGUAACGGCUCACCUAGGCGACGAUCCCUAGCUGGUCUGAGAGGAUGACCAGCCACACUGGAACUGAGACACGGUCCAGACUCCUACGGGAGGCAGCAGUGGGGAAUAUUGCACAAUGGGCGCAAGCCUGAUGCAGCCAUGCCGCGUGUAUGAAGAAGGCCUUCGGGUUGUAAAGUACUUUCAGCGGGGAGGAAGGCGUUGUGGUUAAUAACCACAGCGAUUGACGUUACCCGCAGAAGAAGCACCGGCUAACUCCGUGCCAGCAGCCGCGGUAAUACGGAGGGUGCAAGCGUUAAUCGGAAUUACUGGGCGUAAAGCGCACGCAGGCGGUCUGUCAAGUCGGAUGUGAAAUCCCCGGGCUCAACCUGGGAACUGCAUUCGAAACUGGCAGGCUAGAGUCUUGUAGAGGGGGGUAGAAUUCCAGGUGUAGCGGUGAAAUGCGUAGAGAUCUGGAGGAAUACCGGUGGCGAAAGCGGCCCCCUGGACAAAGACUGACGCUCAGUGCGAAAGCGUGGGGAGCAAACAGGAUUAGAUACCCUGGUAGUCCACGCCGUAACGAUGUCGACUUGGAGUUGUGCCCUUGAGCGUGCUUCCGGAGCUAACGCGUUAAGUCGACCGCCUGGGGGAGUACGGCCGCAAGUUAAACUCAAAUG
rnacentral:rRNA from 1 species